UCUCUGCUCAGCUCUGGUCCCCACAGAGUUAAAAUAGGUCUGACCUAAAUGCAAGCACAAUGCCAGUGCUGCAAAUACGCUGCGUCAGCGGAAACUCCAACUGGAUUCCAGCGGAGAGUCGGAGGAGGAGGCAGAGCGAGGAGGCGUGAGGUACGGAGAGGCAGAGAGCGAGGUGUAGCGUUGAAGAGAGCGACCUACAAAGACGGCAACAACCAGAUGGAGGGAAAUGCAUCGGGAGAAAACCGAGAUCCACGAGGCACCUGACAGUAGACAGAGGAGGCCGCUGUCCAUUUGUUCAUUCAUCCCAGAACGUUUGUACACUUGCUGGCCUGGGCACGGGGGACUGCCGGGCUCACCACCUCCCUUACCUGGGCUUGGAGGCGAGCGGGUGAAUAAACGGGAAGCAAAUAAUCACUCACCCAGCGUAAAAUCAACCGGACUGAGGACUCGGAGUGUCUAAGGGCUCUGGGGGCCUGGCCAGUGAGGUCCGGAAGGCUAAGACUACUGGAAGAGGGGCUGGCCACGGGACCGGGUGGGGAACAGGCAGGGCACUGGGUUCGGGACACUGUGCAAAGGCUGGCUUUCCUUCCACCAUGCAGAAGCUAAGAUCUGACUCUAAAGCCUGGGCAAACGCCUCCUUGGGGGGAAAGGGGUUUUGGAAGGCUGGUGAGGGGCCCCAGAGGGACCCUUCCUCUGGGGGUGAGGACCCCGGGUUCCCAGAAAAUCCCGGGGCAGGAGAGAAAUAUUUCAGUGAGCACUGAGGCCCUGGCCCAGUGGGCCUUUGGCAUGGGGGCCGGUGGGGGCCGUCCGGUCAGUUCCCUAUACCCCAUGGGGCCAGGAGCACAGCCUCAGAUGGAGGUGAACACCCCCUCAGGCUCAUUGCUGCACAUGUCACAGCUGCUGGCCCAGAGCCCCCAAGUUCAGGGUCUGGGUCUGCAUGAUCUCCAGUACAGACAGGGCGCACUGGUGUGCAGCCCGGGCCCUCCCAUCUCGGGGCCAGUCUGACCCGGGCAGAUGCCAGGCCUGUGACUGAGGAGCCAGCCCAAAGUGCCCUGUGGCAUAAGGGAUGUGGCAGUGAGCCAGUACUGCUUGGCUGAGUGUGGUUAAAUCAGAGGCGCAAGAGCUUGACGACCAGAGCUCCUUAAACUUGAACGUGUAUCCGAAGGGCCAGUGACUGUGUUCUGCAGGGCAAAGUCCUCGGCCGCUCUCCCGCCGGGCCAAUGCAUCUCCUGGAAGGGCCUGGACCUGCACCUUUAACAGGCACACGAGGCGAGGAAACUGAGGCCCAGGGUCCCCAAAGUCAGCAGUGAGCUGAGACAAAAGAUGCUCCCACGAGACCCUCAGCCGCUCGCCACACAUUAAAGUCUGUCUCGUCCAGAGUGAGAUGUGGCAUAAGUGUUAAAAUAGACACGGGGUAUCAGAGACGUCGUAUAAGGAAAAGAGCAUAAGACAUCUCAAUCUUUAAAAAUAUUAUCAGGCAUUCAAACGAAUACAAUUUGGACACGUUACACUGCAUAAAAGAUACCAUUAAAAUUAAUUUCACCUGU